GCGCGUGUAGGUGAAAAUAGUUUAUGCUAAAAUUAUUUACUUUAAAUUAUAAUAUUUUUUCUUGUACUUGGAUUAUUAGAAAAGGUUAAAUGAAACAAAUAGGUGGCUAAAUUAUGGAUCAUCUGCUUUAUAAAGGCAAACGAUGUCACGGAAUGAACAUUCUGUCCGUUGAUCUUUAAAGCGCGUUAAACAUUAAAUUUAAUAAGAUGAACGCUGUUGCUUUAAUUUUGAUUGUUUGUGCAUUUUUCUCCCACUCUUGGUGUCAAUCUGUAUCCAGAAAAUACCUCCCUAGCGAACCUGGAUAUCCCUCUGAUGUACCUCAGGUACCCUUUGAAGGGCUUCCUCCACUAGAACCUUCGAAGGAUAGUGCUCCAGCUUUUGCUCAAGUAAGGACAUGCGCCGGUUGUAUCAAUCCUUUGCUAGAACAUGGAACACAUUCUGAGGUCUACCAAGUUCAGUAGUCAUACAGUGUUUUCAAUAUUUCAAUCGCUUGUAAUAUAUUUUAUGUUUUAAGAAAUAAGAGCUAAAAUUAAAAAUAAAUGUAAACAUGUUUAUGCA